ACCGCGAGGUGGAGCAGAUCCCAAAAAAGUAGUCUCAGUUCGGAUCGCAGGCUGCAACCCGCCUGCGUGAAGUCGGAAUUGCUAGUAAUCGCGAAUCAGAAUGUCGCGGUGAAUACGUUCCCGGGUCUUGUACACACCGCCCGUCACACCAUGGGAGUUCGCAAUGCCCGAAGUCAGUGACCCAACCGAGAGGAGGGAGCUGCCGAAGGCAGGGCGAAUAACUGGGGUGAAGUCGUAACAAGGUACC
rnacentral:rRNA from 1 species